rnacentral:rRNA from 1 species
GACGAAGGAUGCAAGCGUUAUCCGGAUUCAUUGGGGUUAAAGGGAGCGUAGGUGGUCUUAUAAGUCAGUGGUGAAAUCCUGUCGCUUAACGAUAGAAUUGCCAUUGAUACUGUAGGACUUGAGUACAGUUGCCGUUGGCGGAAUAUGACAUGUAGUGGUGAAAUACAUAGAUAUGUCAUAGAACACCGAUUGCGAAGGCAGCUGACGAAACUGUAACUGACACUGAGGCUCGAAAGUGUGGGGAUCGAACAGG